GGCAGCAGCCGCGGGAACACCGGCGGCCCGAGUGGUGAUCGUGAUUAUUGGGUCUAAAGGGUCCGUAGCCGGUUUGGUCAGUCCUCCGGGAAAUCUGAUAGCUCAACUAUUAGGCUUUCGGGGGAUACUGCCAGACUUGGAACCGGGAGAGGUAGGAGGUACUACAGGGGUAGGAGUGAAAUCUUGUAAUCCCUGUGGGACCACCUGUGGCGAAGGCGUCUUACCAGAACGGGUUCGACGGUGAGGGACGAAAGCUGGGGGCACGAACCGGAUUAGAUACCCGGGUAGUCCCAGCCGUAACGAUGCUCGCUAGGUGUCAGGCAUGGCGCGACCGUGUCUGGUGCCGCAGGGAAGCCGUGAAGCGAGCCACCUGGGAAGUACGGCCGCAAGGCUGAAACUUAAAGGAAUUGGCGGGGGAGCACAACAACGGGUGGAGCCUGCGGUUUAAUUGGACUCAACGCCGGACAACUCACCGGGGGCGACAGCAAUAUGUAGGCCAAGCUGAAGACUUUGCCUGAAUCGCUGAGAAGAGGUGCAUGG
rnacentral:rRNA from 1 species